rnacentral:rRNA from 1 species
UACGGAGGGGGUUAGCGUUGUUCGGAAUGACUGGGCGUAAAGCGCGCGUAGGCGGAUCAGGAAGUUGGGGGUGAAAUCCCGGGGCUCAACCCCGGAACUGCCUUUAAGACUGCAUCGCUUGAAUCCAGGAGAGGUGAGUGGAAUUCCGAGUGUAGAGGUGAAAUUCGUAGAUAUUCGGAAGAACACCAGUGGCGAAGGCGGCUCACUGGCCUGGUAUUGACGCUGAGGUGCGAAAGCGUGGGGAGCAAACAGG